GAACGCUGGCGGCAUGCCUUACACAUGCAAGUCGAACGGCAGCACGGGAGCAAUCCUGGUGGCGAGUGGCGAACGGGUGAGUAAUAUAUCGGAACGUGCCCAGUCGUGGGGGAUAACGUAGCGAAAGUUACGCUAAUACCGCAUACGAUCUAAGGAUGAAAGCGGGGGAUCGCAAGACCUCGCGCGAUUGGAGCGGCCGAUAUCAGAUUAGGUAGUUGGUGAGGUAAAGGCUCACCAAGCCAACGAUCUGUAGCUGGUCUGAGAGGACGACCAGCCACACUGGAACUGAGACACGGUCCAGACUCCUACGGGAGGCAGCAGUGGGGAAUUUUGGACAAUGGACGCAAGUCUGAUCCAGCCAUUCCGCGUGCAGGAUGAAGGCCCUCGGGUUGUAAACUGCUUUUGUACGGAACGAAAAGGUUUCUAUUAAUACUAGGAGCUCAUGACGGUACCGUAAGAAUAAGCACCGGCUAACUACGUG
rnacentral:rRNA from 1 species